UUAAAAUGAAAUAUGACAACUUAGGCCUACGCGUAAAAACUAUUAUCAGCUAAGUUUAAUAACUGAAUGUGAAUAGUUCACAUUUAAGUGUGUGUGUGUGUAGCUAGUUUUAACCAGCAGGGGGAGUUCACGUUUAAUUAACAGUAAAGUCUAUCAGUAGGCCUAGCUAAGUUUUUAUCGCAAUUAGCAUUAGCUAAACGCUAGUUUAUCGGUCCCUGAGUUCCACAACAUUUCCAAGUGCUUUCUUACACAAAUACAAUGGAAGUCAUCAAUCACCCCCGAAUUUGAACCAGUGACCUUGCUGACCCCGAUCCUGAACCAUUAGGCCACAGAUGGCUGCCUUCAGUGAGUAAGAAACACAUCUGUAUGUGGAGGUCUGCAGAUCCAUGUGCAUGCUGGGAAAGCAGAGCUUGUGAAGUAAAGGCCCGGCCCUCAUUACAAGGUCAUAGGCUGAGCGGCUCGUCAAUCACACACUCAUUAGUGCAGUUUAAUGACGCUGUGACCCGCCCACCUGCCUCCAGGACUCCAGCAGGGGAAGUGAAUGGGUCGUGGGGCAAACGCCUGUAUUGUUUCUCCUCGCUGCGCCUCCCUCUCCGAGAGAGUCAAUGGAUCUGCAGCGACUGUGUGCCGGCGAUCAGAUGAACAGAACGAAGGGGAGUAGGGAGUGACUGGAGGAAUUUUGAGAUGGACCAGAUUACCCAUAAUUCACGAGGAUAACUUAACUGGACCUGUUUCCUGUCUGGAGCCCUGAACAGCUCUAUAACCAGCGGAUCCGGACCGAUCUGAGCAGAGCUGAGAGUUUGGAGCUGGUUUGUCAACUCGUGGUGCAUUGCUGGAAUAUGUGUGAGAGUGAGCAGGAGAUGAGGUCAGAGGAAGUCAAGCCCUGGCUGCAACUGUGUGGAAAAAGGACACUUCCUGUCCGCUUCCCCAAUCCGUUAUGUGAGGUCACCCGCUCACCACAUGGACUCUCACUAUACCCUGGACUACAUUUCCCAUCAUCCAUUGCACUGAUUACACACACACACACACAGCUGAAUCCCAUCAGACAUGCUUUAUAAGCCUUGGACUUCCUCUUUCACAUCGCCGAGCAUUGUUUAGCGUAUAUCUCUCCUAGCGAUAGCUACUUUACGGAGCCAGUUUUCUACCCUAGUUUCUUGUUCUUAAGUCUAGUCUUGCCUUGUGUUGCCUGUUAUCUGAUUCUUGCCUGUGUAUCUUGGAUUUACCCUUUGCCUUGCUGUUUCGGACUGUGAUUGCACUUCGCCUGGACUAUUGCUCAUGUUAUUGAACUACCCCUCUUCUCAAGCCCUCUGGAUAUUGUUUGCCUAUUGAAGACCCACGCUUGCCUUAGGAUUACUCUUUGUCUCGCCUGUGUUAUACCUGUUUGCCAUUGUUUGACUCUUUCCUUUUUGUGAUCACGUCUUGGAAUAAAGCUUGCAAAUGGAUCUGCACGUCUCGU